UUGAACGCUGGCGGCAGGCCUCACACAUGCAAGUCGAGCGGAUGAAGGGAGCUUGCUCCUGGAUUCAGCGGCGGACGGGUGAGUAAUGCCUAGGAAUCUGCCUGGUAGUGGGGGAUAACGUCCGGAAACGGGCGCUAAUACCGCAUACGUCCUGAGGGAGAAAGUGGGGGAUCUUCGGACCUCACGCUAUCAGAUGAGCCUAGGUCGGAUUAGCUAGUUGGUGGGGUAAAGGCCUACCAAGGCGACGAUCCGUAACUGGUCUGAGAGGAUGAUCAGUCACACUGGAACUGAGAUACGGUCCAGACUCCUACGGGAGGCAGCAGUGGGGAAUAUUGGACAAUGGGCGAAAGCCUGAUCCAGCCAUGCCGCGUGUGUGAAGAAGGUCUUCGGAUUGUAAAGCACUUUAAGUUGGGAGGAAGGGCAGUAAGUUAAUACCUUGCUGUUUUGACGUUACCAACAGAAUAAGCACCGGCUAACUUCGUG
rnacentral:rRNA from 1 species